rnacentral:rRNA from 1 species
GGGCAAUUGUCUUGUAAUUGGAAUGAUGGUGACCUAAACCCUCACCAGAGUAACAAUUGGAGGGCAAGUCUGGUGCCAGCAGCCGCGGUAAUUCCAGCUCCAAUAGCGUAUAUUAAACUUGUUGCAGUUAAAAAGCUCGUAGUUGAAUUUCUGCGUUAUCGAGUUAUUGACUCUUGUCUUUAAUCGAUUUCGCUUUUGGGAUUUAUCCCUUUUUACUUUGAGAAAAUUAGAGUGUUUCAAGCAGACUUUUGUCUUGAAUACUUCAGCAUGGAAUAAUAGAGUAGGACUUUGGUUCUAUUUUGUUGG